ensembl:lncRNA
CUAAGGAGUAAAACAAGUGAAUAUCAGAGAGAACAUGAAACCCAUAUCCAAUUAACUUCAGCUUGUUUGAAAAACACUGGAAAGGAGAAUGUCUUCUGUGCAAGUGACUGAGGAGCUGUGCAACUGUCCCAGUUUUGCAGAGAAACUGGGGCUGACAGAAAUGGCCAUCCUUUCCUUGGAGAAUUAUACUACAAUGAUUUGGAUAAGUAAAAAUAUGUGCAUGAAGCUGAUCCACGGGCAAAUAGCAACUCUGUGGCAAAGGGGAAAACAAUGUCCCUUAAAAAUCCUAAUAGCAUGUCAGCCCCUACACAAUCAUUUCUUGCUGGAUUUCUGCUGUAUCCUUUAUGGUCAAGGUUGAUCCACCAGUAGUAGGUGUAUUUAGUUUUGUUUUCAGUGUAUGUUUUGUUCUCAGCUGUGCUUCUACCUCAGAUUCUUAAGAUUUUACGUCAUAACACUUCAUUGUUCGUUCCUGG